UUUCCUUUGAUCUUCCAAUAGAGGGUUAAGAAUGGUGGACUCGUACGUCUUUAGAUUCCCCCGGAGUCCGUCUAUAGUGAUGUUGGUGAUGCCAAUUGACUCUUGAAUGGCAUCGGCUUUUGAACGCCACUCUGGAGUGAGGCUCCGCAGGAUUUUUUGUACAAGCUCCUUGUCCGUGUACGUCUUCUUGAGUGCGUGGAGGUCGUUGACAAUUUUUGAAAAUCGUUCAAACAUGUCGUCGAUUUUCUCGUUCUCCUGUCCGUGUACGUCUUCUUGAGUGCGUGGAGGUCGUUGACAAUUUUUGAAAAUCGUUCAAACAUGUCUUCGAUUUUCUCGUUCUCCUUCGUACGAAAUAAUUUAUAUUCAUGGGUUAGAAAAUAAAUUUUAGCCUCUCGGACUUGGUCCGUACCUUCGUAGGUGACUUCUAGCUUCUCCCACAUUUGCUUGGCCGUGGUGCAACAUGAAAUCCUCCGAUAAUCAUCGGGGUUUACUGCAUAGUACAACAUGUUGAUGGCCUUAGCAUUAUUCUCCACCUUUUUGAUGUCCUCUGCAUCAUAUUCGUUCUCCGUCUUUAGGACGACUUUAUCC
rnacentral:lncRNA from 1 species